UGGACCAAUGAUAAGGAUGUCUCUUGAAACAAGGAUUCUGAUGAAUCCACUUCUGUGAACCUAAGGACCCAUU
rnacentral:snoRNA from 1 species